GAUGAACGCUGACAGAAUGCUUAACACAUGCAAGUCUACUUGAACUUCGGUUUGGGUGGCGGACGGGUGAGUAACGCGUAAAGAACUUGCCUCACAGUUAGGGACAACAUUUGGAAACGAAUGCUAAUACCUGAUAUUAUGAUUUUAGGGCAUCCUAAUAUUAUGAAAGCUAUAUGCACUGUGAGAGAGCUUUGCGUCCCAUUAGCUAGUUGGAGAGGUAACGACUCACCAAGGCGAUGAUGGGUAGCCGGCCUGAGAGGGUGAACGGCCACAAGGGGACUGAGAGACGGCCCUUACUCCUUCGGGAGGCAGCAGUGGGGAAUGUUGGACAAUGGACCAACAGUCUGAUCCAGCAAUUCUGUCUGCACGAUGACGUUUUUCGGAAUGUAAAGUGCUUUCAGUUGGGAAGAAAAAAAUGACGGUACCAACAGAAGAAGUGACGGCUAACUACGUG
rnacentral:rRNA from 1 species